CUUACUUUAGUUUAUUUAGAAUGUUGGUUUUGGGGACCAUUGGUCUCUUUGGAGAGGUUUGG
rnacentral:tRNA from 1 species